GUAUCUCAGCACCAGUAUCUCAGCACCAGUAUCUCAGCACCAGUAUCUCAGCACCAGUACUGUUGACUCCUCUGAUCUGACAUUAUGCAGCUGCUUGUGUUGUUGUGUUGCGUAGCGAUGGCGGCGGCGGUGCCACAUUCAGGGAUGGAGGGGAGAAAACUUUCAGAGACGCAGGGCCUGCUCAGGUCCUUCUACACCAUCGGCAGCCCCCAGGUACGCUCUUAUUUUGAAGUAUAUUUUCAAAGUCUGUCCGUUUCUUUGACUUUGUUUUGGAGUGGCUCUAACAGAGUGUCUUUAACAGAGUCGGUACCUCCUUGUUUUUAAGUGGCUCUAACAGAGUGUCUUUAACAGAGUGUCUUUCUCCUUGUUUUGGACUGGCUCUAACAGAGUGUCUUUCUCCUUGUUUUGGAGUGGCUUUAAUGUAUUCUCUUUGUCCUUGUUUUGGAUUGGGGCUAACAGAGUGUAUUUCUCCUUGUUCUGCAGAGUGACGGAUCCCAUCCGUCGCUGAAUAUCAAGGUAAGAUCUCAGCCGGUAUGCAGAUCUGAGUCAUUGAUAUUCGUUGCAUAUAUUAGACGCUUGAAGACAUAUCUCAACAUGAAGGUUGUAUCUUACGGUGGAGGGGGAGUUGGGCUCAGAUUAGCUAUAGUAAUAGUAUGAAUACAUUUGUAUGUGACACUUUAAGGUACUCAAAGAUACCUAUCACUUUGUAAUUAAUAACCUCAUAUUUGAUUUGAUAAUUACAUUUAAACAAAGCUGAAACUGAAUUAUUGUUAUAUAAUCAAUAACCUAUUUAAAAUCAAUCAGCAGGGUUUAUUAAAAUGUGUCAUCAAAAGGUUAUCAAAUCGUUUAUUUCUUAAAAGAAGAGGAUAAUGAGCAAAAACAGUAUUCAUAAAUACAUAAUUUACAAAUGAAGAGCGUAAAACAGGAGGAAGCGUUAAGAAGUUAAGUUUAGCUAUAAGGUUAGAGAUGGUAAAGUUUAGGUAUAAGGUUGGAGAUUAUUACGUUUAGGUAUAAGGUUAGAGAAGGUUAUGUUUGGUAUAAGGUUCGAGGGGGUUAAUUUAGGUAUAAAGUUACAGAUGGUUACGUUUAAGUAUAGGAUAAUUGUAGGUUGUGAAGUCAAGGUGGUUAACUUAAGGUAAGGGAUUUAUGGGGUUGAAUUAAGGUAAGAGUUUAUCGUGGUUAAGGUGAGGGAAAGGACCAGGGUAGGAACGACAUCAUGGCGGUAAUCAGUGGAACGGUCUGUUUUGCCCGCUGCUGGUAAGAAGGUUUUCUUGUCAAACUGACAGCGAGUUGAUUUUCUACAUCUUGCACUCUCACCCGUGACAUGUGAUGAGUAAGCAUUUGCAAAGCUCCGCUAACCACACAAACACAACACGCUUCCUCACGAAAAGAGCGCUGUCUAAACGAAAGCGCGUCCUUUAUCGUUGGAGCGCGUUUCACUGCGACACUUUCAGGGUUUUCUCCGUAAAGUUUGGGGUCGAUCAGGAAAGCGCACGGAUAGAUCGCUUGAGCAUAAGGAAAGUCAGAACUUGCUCUAGGUUUCAGAACGUAGGGCUACAAGUGUUAGCGUUAAUCAGCGUGUCUCGUCCCCACAGCUGGGAUGCUGCGAAGCGGCGCUCACCUGUUUCCACGACAACCUUAAGAACGUCACGGCGCAGCACGAGAUAGCGUCGGGCAUGCAAUUGUUCAGCAGUCUGAAAAACUCAAACCUGAGGAAGGCUGUCCAGUGCAAAGACCCUGGCCCCGCCCCGGAUCAUUCCUGCCCAGCCUGCGAUUCUUUCCCCAGGACGAAGGCGGAGCUUGUCAACCAGCUGUCCCAGUUCCUCGAAAAGGCAGCGAGCAGCUUGUCUACAAAAAGACGGGGAUGAAUCCACCAACUAGGACGCAGCUGAACCCACCAAUCCGGACGCAGCUGAACCCAUCAGACCUCAUCUACAUUCAAAUUUUUAUUUAAGAGCAGCUCACAAUAAUGUAUUCCCAUUAACAGGCCAUAGAUCUUAUUCAUAUGAAUAUUUAUUUUCUUUGUAUUAACUGAUUUACUUAUUUAAUAUUUAUUAAUUUAUUAUUUAUUCAUUUAUUUAUACAGAGUGUGUGGACACUUGGUUAUUGGUUCUUAAAGAACCUAUGAUUUGCUACCGUUCAUGGUAAUUUAUUUAUUUACAAAUAAAAUUAUUUUUAUUUAAUAAAAAUGCCUUUGUCUUGUUUUUGAUACUGAGUCACAUGAUGAAUCUGCUUCUGCCUUAUUAUUAUUUCACCAUUUAAAUUGCUAAUAUUUCCC
ensembl:lncRNA